AUAAAGUUUUAUUUUAGCUUAUUUAAUUAGUUUAUAUAUUUUAAAAAUGUAAUUUUUUUUAAAAAAUUUUUAAGAAGCAAUUUAAAGAUUUAUAAAUAAUAGAAAUAUUGAUUUAGAAAUUUAUAAUUAUAUUAACAUAUAUUGUGCCAGCAGUUGCGGUUAUUCAUUAAAUAUUAUUGAUUAAUUUAUAUUUAUAAAAAUUAGUAAGUUUAAAAAAAUAGUUUUAAUAAUUGAGUGAAAUUUUUAUUAAUUAUUUUUUUUUAUAUUAUUUAAUUUUUAUUAAAUUUUUUUAUUAAACUAGGAUUAGAUACCCUAUUAUUUUAAAUGUAAAUAAGUAAAUAAGUAAUUAAUAGUUAAGUUCUUUAAAGUUAAAAAAUUUGGCAGUAUUAUAAUUUUUAGAGGAACCUGUUUUAUAAUUGAUAAUCCACGAUUAAAUAUACUUAUAAUAUUAAUUUGCAUAUCGUUGUUUUUAAAUUUUUUUAGAAAAAAUAAAUGUUUAAUAUUUUAUAAUAAAAGUAAAAUCAGAUCAUGAUACAGUUUAUUUAUAAGGAAAAAUGGGUUACAUUGUAAGUUAUAUUGAAUUUUUAAUUGAAAAUUAAUUUGAAAUUGGAUUUAAAAGUAAUUUUAUUUAUUUUAAUAAAAUGAUUAAAUAUAUUAAUAUGUACAUAUUGCCCGUCGCUUUCAUUUAAAAUGAGAUAAGUCGUAACAAAGUAGUUGUACUGGAAAGUGUAGCUUGUUCAAG
rnacentral:ncRNA from 1 species